AUUGAACGCUGGCGGCAGGCCUAACACAUGCAAGUCGAACGGUAACAGGAAGCAGCUUGCUGCUUCGCUGACGAGUGGCGGACGGGUGAGUAAUGUCUGGGAAGCUGCCUGAUGGAGGGGGAUAACUACUGGAAACGGUAGCUAAUACCGCAUAAUGUCGCAAGACCAAAGAGGGGGACCUUCGGGCCUCUUGCCAUCGGAUGUGCCCAGAUGGGAUUAGCUUGUUGGUGGGGUAACGGCUCACCAAGGCGACGAGCCCUAGCUGGUCUGAGAGGAUGACCAGCCACACUGGGACUGAGACACGGUCCAGACUCCUACGGGAGGCAGCAGUGGGGAAUAUUGCACAAUGGGCGCAAGCCUGAUGCAGCCAUGCCGCGUGUAUGAAGAAGGCCUUCGGGUUGUAAAGUACUUUCAGCGGGGAGGAAGGGAGUAAAGUUAAUACCUUUGCUCAUUGACGUUACCCGCAGAAGAAGCACCGGCUAACUCCGUG
rnacentral:rRNA from 1 species